GCCGGGGUAGCGCAGCCAGUUAGCGCAUCAGUCUCAUAAUCUGAAGGUCAUGAGUUCGAACCUCACCUUCGGGCA
rnacentral:tRNA from 1 species